rnacentral:rRNA from 1 species
UACGAAGGGGGCUAGCGUUGUUCGGAUUUACUGGGCGUAAAGCGCACGUAGGCGGAUUGUUAAGUCAGGGGUGAAAUCCCGGAGCUCAACUCCGGAACUGCCUUUGAUACUGGCAAUCUUGAGGCUGGAAGAGGUUAGUGGAAUUCCCAGUGUAGAGGUGAAAUUCGUAGAUAUUGGGAAGAACACCCGUGGCGAAGGCGGUUCUCUGGGACGGUACUGACGCUGAGACGCGAAAGCGUGGGGAGCGAACAGG